GUUGCCCUGCUCGGUACGUGCUCUUUGUGGAAACUCUGAACCAAUGUGUUUUUCUUCGGGAGUGGCUGCGCUUAACGCCGUGUGUAUGCCCCGGGCCAGCUUCGCGCUGGCUGCAGAGGAAACCUUAAGCGUUAGCGGUCGUUCCCACCUAGCUUAGCUAGGUUCAGAAUCCCAAUGACACGGCCAUAGCGGGGCUUUU
rnacentral:other from 1 species